GGGGGGAGCAAACGUUGUUCGGAAUCACUGGGCGUAAAGGGCGCGUAGGCGGCCCCGCAAGUGGUGUGUGAAAUGCCCUGGCUCAACCAGGGAACUGCGCACCAAACUGCGUAGCUUGAGGGCAGUAGAGGAAGCUGGGAUUCCUGGUGUAGCGGUGAAAUGCGUAGAUAUCAGGAGGAACACCGUUGGCGAAGGCGAGCUUCUGGGCUGUUCCUGACGCUGAGGCGCGAAAGCUGGGGGGGAGCAAACAGGAUUAGAUACCCUGGUAGUCCCAGCCGUAAACGGUGAACACUAGGUGUGGGGGGGUGUCGACCCCUUUCCGUGCCGCAGCUAACGCAUUAAGUGUUCCGCCUGGGUAGUACGGUCGCAAGGCUG
rnacentral:rRNA from 1 species